GACGAACCGAGCGAACGUUGUUCGGAAUCACUGGGCUUAAAGGGCGCGUAGGCGGGUGCUCAAGUCCGCGGUGAAAUCCUCCGGCUCAACCGGAGAACUGCCUCGGAUACUGGGUGCCUCGAGGGUGGUAGGGGUAUGCGGAACUAUCGGUGGAGCGGUGAAAUGCGUUGAUAUCGAUAGGAACUCCGGUGGCGAAGGCGGCAUACUGGACCACCUCUGACGCUGAGGCGCGAAAGCCAGGGGAGCAAACGGG
rnacentral:rRNA from 1 species